rnacentral:rRNA from 1 species
CGACGAAUCUUCCGCAAUGGGCGAAAGCCUGACGGAGCGAUGCCGCGUGUGGGAUGAAGCGGCUUUGCCGUGUAAACCACUGUCAGGGAAUAGAAAUCAUGAUCAUUUCCAAAGGAAGGGGCGACUAACUCUGUGCCAGCAGUCGCGGUAAGACAGAGGCCCCGAGCGUUAGUCGGAAUCACUGGGCUUAAAGGGUGCGUAGGCGGACUCAUAAGUGUCGUGUGAAAGCCCAUGGCUUAACCAUGGAACCGCACGGCAAACUGUGAGUCUUGAGGUAGGUAGAGGCGGGUGGAACGAAUGGUGGAGCGGUGGAAUGCGUAGAUAUCAUUCGGAACGCCAAAGGUGAAGACAGCCCGCUGGGCCUUACCUGACGCUGAGGCACGAAAGCGUGGGGAGCAAA